GACGAACGCUGGCGGCGUGCUUAACACAUGCAAGUCGAACGGAAAGGCCUCUUUCGGGGGGUACUCGAGUGGCGAACGGGUGAGUAACACGUGAGUAACCUGCCCUUGACUUUGGGAUAACUUUAGGAAACUGGGGCUAAUACCGGAUAGGAGCUCCUGCUGCAUGGUGGGGGUUGGAAAGUUUCGGCGGUUGGGGAUGGACUCGCGGCUUAUCAGCUUGUUGGUGGGGUAGUGGCUUACCAAGGCUUUGACGGGUAGCCGGCCUGAGAGGGUGACCGGCCACAUUGGGACUGGGAUACGGCCCAGACUCCUACGGGGGGCAGCAGGUGGGAAUAUUGCACAAUGGGUGGGAGCCUGAUGCAGCAACGCCGUGUGCGGGAUGACGGCCUUCGGGUUGGAAACCGCCUUCGCUCAUGACGGAGCUUUGUGUGACGGUAGUGGGUAAAGAAGCACCGGCUAACUACGUG
rnacentral:rRNA from 1 species